rnacentral:rRNA from 1 species
GACGUAGGGCGCGAGCGUUGUCCGGAAUUAUUGGGCGUAAAGAGCUCGUAGGCGGCUUGUCACGUCGGGUGUGAAAGCCCGGGGCUUAACCCCGGGUCUGCAUUCGAUACGGGCUAGCUAGAGUGUGGUAGGGGAGAUCGGAAUUCCUGGUGUAGCGGUGAAAUGCGCAGAUAUCAGGAGGAACACCGGUGGCGAAGGCGGAUCUCUGGGCCAUUACUGACGCUGAGGAGCGAAAGCGUGGGGAGCAAACAGG